CUAGGGUUAACUAUUUCUACACUUCUCCGUACAUCUCCAAAUCAAAUUUUUUAAUCUGGGUAUGUUCUUCCUGUGGAAUAUCAGCAACUCAUAAGUGUUAAUUUCCCAAUCUUAUUUCCCCUUUAUAGUGGAGGAGUUUAAUGCUCAAUAUACAUAUUUUAAAAACAUUCUGCAGAUGCCUGGAAAUAUAAGUAUAGAAUAGGCAAAUGAUGAUCAAAAUAGUCUGUCGAGUAUGUAGGAUAGCAUACUCUAGGAGCCAAGUCUGGCCUAAAAUAAUCUGAUGAUUUUCUUCCUGCGGAAUAUCAGCAGUCUAAGGGUUAAUUUACCAAUCUUUUUUCCCCAUGGGAGUGGAGCAGUUUAAUGCCUUGUUUUUUUUUUGUUUUUUUUUUUUUUGUUUUUUUUGUUUUUUAUAUAGUCUGAAUAUGUAAAAUAUAAGAACUGAGUAUUUUAAGAUAACAUACUCUGAGUAUGUUCUGUCGCUUGGAAAUAUAAUAUAUAAAUUAGGCGGAUGAUGAAGAAAACAGUCUGAUGCCAUGUUUUUUUAAGUCUGAGUAUGUAAAAUAUAACAUAUGCAUUUUUUUGAGUAUGUACUUCCUUAGUCAUUUCAGCAGCUCUGAGUGUUUAUUUCCCAGACUAUUUUCCCCAUUAGAAUGGAGCAUUUUAAUGCUCAAUAUACAUGUUUUUUAAACAUUCAUACUAAACUGGAAAUAUAACUAUGCCAACUGUUUUUCUACAUUAAGACCCAUUCAAGUUCAAUACUUUAGUUAAAAAAAAGCUGUAUUUGAGUCAUCUAGAAAAACUGAUAUAGCUUUUGCAGCUGUAAGUGUUCAUUUCACAAAAUACAGCUCCUACUAACACUAUGAUAACCAAACUUCAAACAUAAAAAUUAAAGUGCAAAUGCUAAGUUUUGAAAAUUAUAAAAACCUCAUAUUUAUAUAUGUAUCCAAACUUCCAUGAAACAAAAUCCAACUUCAUAAUUCCAGAAUCUUAAGAGUCUGAAGCCUUCAAUAAUCUGUCGAGUCCAAGAGUAUGUCUUUAACCUGGCUUGAGGCACUUUAAAAAAUUUGAAUGAGCUGAAAUAAUGACUAAAGCAAUAGGAAAUAGAAAUAUAACAGUUAGGUUAAACAAACAUAACAAAUACUCAAAACAUUCAAAAGUUUUCACAGUAAUCAAUCUCUUCAUGAGAUGCAUAGGAUGUUUUUUUGUCCAAGAACCAUGUCAACCCAAUAGUAUAAAACAUAAAAUGUUUUUUUUUCAAGAAUCACAGUCCCUCUAUGCAAGUUUCUCGUUCCUGAUAACCAAGGAUAAAUAAGAGAUAUAUAAGUCCUAAUUUAGGCUUUUAAAAAAUCACCUGAUUGUAUUUGGAUAGCAAUGAAGUUGCUGAGAUGCCCAUGAGUCCUAAUGGAUGUAUGCAUUUUAAACAAUAUUAUUAUAAAAAGAAACGGCACCAUUUACAUGCUAUGAGGAAAAUGUAGCUUCCAUCACAAACCUGCCUUCAACUCAGUUAAACUUAAUAAUAAAACAAAGUUUAGUAGUUUUUCAAUUAAAAGACAUUGAUAUCACUAAAAUGUAAAAUUAUCUCCUUUUCACUCACAAUCAAUUUGAGUAAAAUUUGAAUUGCCUCCCUCCGUUUUGAACUUUUUGCAUAUCUCACCUCUACUAACCACAGGUUUGUCAAAAGAAAUAUUGCUUUUGCGGAAGAAAAGUAAAAAUAAUUUUAUUAUAUAGAUUGUAAGACUCACCGACCUUAAUCUUCAGGCAACUAUCUUAUCCAUACUCUUGAGUGUCUUUUUCUUCAUGCAGCUCCACCAUUUUGCAUCGCAAAGCUUCUUUGAAAGCUCAACAAACGCUGGAAAGUGAGGUCAGUGGGACUGGGAGGAAGCCUUAUCCGCAGAAGGGUACAGGUCGAGCAAGGCAUGGGACACUCCGUGGCCCUCAGUUUCGUGGCGGUACAGCUAUGCAUGUUCCAAAGCCCCGAAGUCAUGCUACUAUCAAGCUGAACAAGAAGGUUUGUCGACUUGGCUUGAAGCUAGAUUGCUUUGUCAGCUCGUGCAGCAGAGGGA